CCAUCAUCAUAUCGACACUAUACAUAAAACCAAUUACAACCAUUUCUCCAUUGAAAUAAUAUAUCAAGAUGACAAUUUUUUUGUUCACAUACCUUUAUGUUACUUGCAACCUUAAUGGCUUCAAUAAUAUGAAUCUGAUCAGGUACUUGAGGGAAUGGUAACACUGAGAUCACAAUAUCUACUUGACGAAGUAUCGCCACAAUCUUUUCAUGUUCCUUCAACUCCCCCUGUUUUCGUACAUACAUCAAACAUUUACGAUUAUCAAAUAUGCUUGCACGCAUACAUACAUACAUACAUACAUACAUACAUACAUACAUACAUACAUACCUGGAUGAUGGUAACACCAGAAGACUGAAACUCUUUAUGCAAGUUGAUCUUGUUGAUAGUGGAUUGUGGGGUGAGAGGGCGAGCAAAAACAAAAGUUGGAUGCCCUAACUUGAUGCUUGCCUUCACCAUGUAUGUGCCUAAGUUGCCGGUUCCUCCAAAUAUGAGGAUUUUAUUUUAGCUUCCCUAUCCAUAUUCAAUUUCUUUUCUUAUGAUCCACACCUUCUUGCCAUGCCCAUAUUUAUAUUGUCUUAUCCACACAUGUUACUAAAAAAUAUGGAUUUUUAAAAAAAAAAAAAGAUUUUUUAUAUCAAAUGAGAAAUUUUGUGUAAUAUAAAAUGUGAUGUAAAAUAUCAAAUCAUUAAAUUAAUUUUUUGAAAGGUACAUUUGAUCGUGAGAUUAAUUUCGAUGACAUUAAAAAUAGAAAUUAAUUAUUAUAGUUGUGAGUUUAAAAUAAAUAAUACAAUAUGUACUUGAGUACAAAUAUAACGACUGUGAUGAGAUUAGAGAACAUGUAUAUGUAUAAUAAAUAAUUAAAAUUAUAUUUAUAGCAUUUAAUGAAAUAUAAAUAAAUAUAUUUAUGUGUUAAAAUAUAAUAAAAAUACAGAACAAAAUGAUAGUUAUCUUAAAUAAUUAUAAAAAAUUAUUAAACAAUAUUUAUAUUAAAAAAAUUAAUAAAGCGAAUAUUUAAAAAAUUGAAUUAAAUAAAGGUGAAUUAAAUAAAGAAUGAAAGCAAUGGCACAAUGUAUGUCAUUUUCAGCUUCAAUUAUUUGAAGAAUUACUGCAAAUUAAAAUAUUAAAGAAACGUGUUAAAAAGCUGGGUCCAUGAAACGUCUCUUUCCCCCAAACUUUCAUAAUUGUUUAUUGUCUGUAUUGAUAUUUCCCAGAAAAUUUUAUGCUACAAACAUGCAUGAGUAUCAUCUGAAAUACAAUUAUGUCUGAUAGCACUUGUAUGUAUUUUUUAAAAUACAUGUAUUUCUCAUUAGUAUUCACGGUGAAAAAAAUAUAAUGUUUUGUUUUAGUGUAUCCGCUAUUUUAGACAACACUAACUUUUUUUUUAAAAUUUGGUCUCGCCGUUGUAUUAGGCGGCACUGUUGUCAAGUUUUAAAAAAAUGUUUUUUUGUGCUACCGAUGUGUCAGCCGACAUCAGUGACCAUUUUUAAAAAUAUAUAUCUUAUUAUUCAAAAAAAAAAGCAAGCUAAUCUUAAAUAUAAGGAAAGAGAAGAAAAAAGAACACCAUAAGAACCAAAACACAAGUAAAAGAAAAUCCAAAAAAUAUGAGUAUUUUGAAAAAUACAUACGGUUGCCGCCGGCUACAGUGAUGACACCUAAAAAAAAUUUUUUUUUUUAAAUCAAUGAUUGACUAAUGAUAAGGGAUGGUACCACCGGUAUAUUUGACGGCACUGACGAACACUGUAAAUUUUAGAUCAUUCUCAUACAUAAUGUGACUUCUUGUUAAGGAUAAUAAAACGGUUAGAGAGGUAGUUAGUGAAGGUUGGAAGGUUAGCUAGUUUGUUUAAGAAAGCAAGUUAUCUGUGAGUAUAAAAACGAUGGUCUGGCUUUGUAUUGAAGCAAGUAAAUAGUCUAAGUUCAUUUUUGUAAACAGAGUUCAUUUGAGUAAACGAUUGUUUGAAGAGAAAUUCUAAAAGUUACCUAGCUUUCUUCAUGGUAUCAGUCGCUAGGAGUUUUUGAUCAUGGCAACUACAAACUCUGCUGCGUCAGACUCUGCUGAAGUGCAUGGCUCCGUGUUUGCUGCUGAGCGUGUGGUGAAUUCGUUUCCUCGCCAUGACGUUGUGAAACUUGAUGAAGGAACAUUCCUUCAAUGGAAGCAACAGGUGAGAUUCAUUGUUAAUGGCUAUGAUCUCUUUGGUUUUCUUGAUGGAUCUAUUGUUGUACCGUCAAGGUUUGUGCAAGCACCGGAUGGUGCGCUCGUUGUCAAUCCUGUGGCGUCCGUGUAUCAGCAAUAGGAUAAUCUUCUCACGUCCUGGCUUCUCUCCACCAUAAGUUCAUCCGUUCUCUCCUCCUUUAUGGAUGUUCAAUCGGCGAACGAUGUGUGGACCAUGGCGUUGGAGAUGUUCGCGGCCGAUUCUGAUCAAAGGCAGUCCCGAUUGCGUCAUGAGCUUCACUCUCUCAAGAAAGGAAGCAUGUCGAUUCGUGAUUAUGUCGCGAAGUUAAAACGUAUAUGCACCCUAUUGGAGUCAUCUGGAACCUCCAUCUCUAUGGCAGAAAGGACAGCGGUGCUUCUUGUGGGGCUUCCAUCUGAGUUUAAAGGUGUCGUAUCGUCGGCUUCGUUGUCUCCGACUCCAUUGCCAUUUUCGCGUCUGGUUGAUGCGUUACUAGAGUGUGAAACUCGGCAUGCUCAGUCAAGCCAAGAGGUGCUGUAUGCUGCAAAUCUGGUGGAAGAUGUGUCCACGGACGGUUCGUCGCGAGGAGGUCGAUCGGGGGCACGUGGUCGUGGGAGGACCUUUCGGCCACGACUCCAAUGCCAGAUCUGUUCUCGGUUUGGACACGUGGCUCAGAAAUGUUAUUAUCGAUACCAUCGUGACGAGUCUUCUCCGGUGCAACCUCCGAUGCCCAGUCAGAUGCCGAAUAUCCACUCCGGUGAUAGUGGUUAGCCGUCUCAAUCAAACACAAGACCUAGGGUUUCUAAUUUUGGUCAACAAUAUUAUGGGACUAAUGAAGUUAAUUGUGCUACAGGUCAAAAUUGCUUUGGGCCUGGUCAAAAUUCAUUUGAUUAUGGUCAAAAUUGGUGUGCUGAAAGGGAAUUCAAUGAACAGCGUGGAGGCCAGCAGGUUGGGCCAAAUGGUUGGUCUAGGCCGAGUGGUGAACGGCGUGAUUUCAGGCCUCCAACUCCUGGGCCGCAAGCUGGUGGGCCGAAUGGUGGUGUUCAUGGCGGGCUUGGCAUGGCGCCUUCUGUUGGGCCGAAUAUUGGGCAGCAUGGAGAGCCAAAUAUUCCUCAUCCGAUGCCCGCAAAUCCUUUUGUGAAUAAUGUUCAGCUCGAUUCGGCUAAACCGAUCGGUGACACGACAGUUCCGUGGCGGACCAAGCCGCGUACGCGAGUGUUUUCAGCUUCAAAUUCGUGUUUUGGACUUCCUAGACUGGGAGAUAUACAUGCGUCUGAUUACUCUGAUCCGUCGAUAUCCAGCUCUCAUAUUAACUCUGAUCGACAUAGAGUGAGUGGGGAUGAGUCUGACUCGCCGAUUCCUGGACCAGUUGGGACGUCGUCUUGGUAUCCUGAUUCAAGAGCCAGCAAUCAUGUUUGUCGGGACCCGUCCAAUCUGCAUCAUGCCAAUCAUUAUUCAGGUACGUCUUCUAUUUUAAUGGGUGAUGGUACACCCGCAAUGAUAUUGUCUGUUGGUCAAAGUGUUUUGCCGACACGGUCUAGGUUGCUUCAGCUAUCUAAUGUUUUAUGUGUCCCAGCUAUUCGGAAAAAUUUGUUAUCAGUAUCUCAAUUUGCAACUGAUAAUGGGGUGUUUUUUGAGUUUCACUCUACUUAUUGUGUGAUUAAGGACAACGUGACACAGGAGGUUUUACUGACAGGGCAUAUUCAUAAUGGGCUAUACCGGUUCUCUAUACCAGAUGGUGUUCCUAGUAUGUCUGCUGCUCAGGUAGAAUGUUCGACUUCGACUGCCGACAGUGAGUUGUUUUCGUUAUGGCAUAAGCGUCUUGGACAUCCGUCAUCUAUUGUUGUUAAAAAUGUUUUACAUAAGUGUCAUGUUCCUUUGAAUAAAGUCUCUAUUAGUGAUGUUUGUACUGCUUGUAAAAAAGAUAAACUUCAUAAGUUGCCAUUUUCGGCCUCCAAUACUGAGUAUACCGAUCCCUUUUCGUUGGUUGUAUCUGAUGUAUGAGGACCUGCUUCAGUUGCUUCUAAUAACAAUUGGUACUAUGUGUCGUUCAUUGACAUGAGUUCUCGAUUUACUUGGGUAUAUCUAAUUCGGCAGAAGUCACAAGUUAUAACCUGUUUUAUUCAGUUUCAGAAACUUGUUUACAAUCAGUUUGGCAAGACCAUCAAGCAAUUCCAGAGUGACUGGGGUGGUGAGUAUCGCGCGUUAGCUUCAAUUUUAGCGUCCCAAGGCAUCGUUCAUCGUGUGUCGUGUCCGCACACUUCUGAACAGAAUGGUGUUGCCGAACGUAAACAUCAACACAUUGUGGACAUGGGGCUUACACUUUUAGCACAAGCGGGACUUUCGAUGGAGUUCUGGGCAUAUGCGUUUACAUGUGACGUUCAUCUAAUAAACAGUGCUGGAUGGUAAGACACCCUAUCGUGUGCUCUAUUGGCAAGACCCUACUUAUGAUCAUUUGCGUAUUUUUGGGUGUUGUUGCUAACCGUUAUUGCGCCCGUUUCAGUGUCAUAAAUUAGAAUUUCGGUCUCAACCGUGUACAUUCUUGGGCUAUAGCCCUUAUCACAAAGGAUAUCACUGUCUGUUGCCAGAUGGUCGCAUUAUUGUCUCACGACAUGUAGAGUUUGAUAAGUCGCGGUUCCUCUCUCCGACGAGUGUGUCUCGGUCACGGGAGGUGAGUACUAUACCUACCUACUUUCCUGUUCUUGAGACUAAUCUGGUAUUGGAAAGGAAUUCUGUUCCUGGUAAUGUUUGUCCACCUAGUGUAUCUGGGUCUCUGAGUCCUCAGAAUGGAGUGCCUGCUAGUCCAACAAAUACUAAUUGUCGUAACACUCCCUCGUUGAAUGAGAUGUUGACUGAAGGUGAUAAUGAUCAUCAUGAUUUCUUGAAUUCUGAAACUCAGUCCUCCACGCCUGUUGUUAGAGUUCCGUCUGACCCUACAGGACCAGAUGUGUCAGUGCCUAAUGUGAAUGUUCAUCCUAUGACCACUCCUUCGAAGGCUGGUAUUUUUAAACCUAAGGCUCUUGCGGUCGAGGUUGUCGAACCAUCAACAAUCGAAGAAGCUGUCGCUAGCCCUAAGUGGCAAGCCGCUGCUCAAGCUGAGUAUGACGCUUUAAUACGGAAUGGUACCUGGGUACUUGUUCCUAUGCCAUCAGGUCGCAAAGUUAUUGGUUGCAAAUGGUUGUUUAAAGUAAAGAAAAACCCAGAUGGCACGAUUGAACGAUACAAGGCACGUCUGGUGGCAAAAGGCUAUUCUCAAGUUCCGGGGUGUGAUUUUCAAGGAACAUUUAGUCCAGUUGUAAAACCUGCUGCUAUAAGGGUUAUCUUGUCCAUUGCGGUUACUAAAGGAUGGUUGCUUCGACAAGUUCAUGUUAACAAUGCCUUCUUAAAUGGUGAUGUUGAUAGUGAGGUGUUUAUGCAGCAACCCCCGGGAUAUGUUAAGCUUGGUUCUGAUGGGCGACCUUUGGUCUGUCGUCUAAAGAAGGCGUUAUAUGGUUUGCGUCAGGCUCCACGAGCUUGGUUUGAGAAGUUGAGAAAUUUUUAUCUGACAGUUGAGUUUGUUGGCUCUAAGUCGGAUGCAUCUCUGUUUGUUCGAGUUCGCUCGGAUUCCACUCUAUAUGUUCUUGUUUAUGUUGAUGACAUUAUCAUUACUAGUAAUUUGGCGUCGUCUAUUGACUGGUUUGUACAGCUAUUGAAUGAUGAAUUUUCGUUAAAGGACAUGGGUGAUUUACACUAUUUUUUAGGAAUUGAGGUUACCAGGUCGUCAUGUGGAAGUCUUCAUCUUUGUCAAUAGAAGUAUAUCCGGGAUAUGUUGAAGCGUAGUGGUUUGGCAAGUGCUAAAGGUGUUCAUACGCCCAUAUUAGCUCGUCGCACAUUUCUAAGAAUGAUGGUGAUUUUUUAUCUGAUCCAACUGAGUACAGAAGUCUGGCAGGUGCGUUACAAUAUGUAGUUCUUAUUAGGCCUGAUAUUGCUUAUGCGGUUAAUCGGGUAUGUCAGUUUAUGCAUCAUCCUACCACAGUUCAUUUGGCUGCUCUUAAAAGAAUAUUACGAUAUUUGUCUGCUACUCUUGAUUUUGGAAUCGUUUUUCGAUGGUCUAAUUCUCUCUGUUUAGUUGGGUUUUCUGAUGCAAACUAGGGGUUGGAUUUUGAUGAUCGGCGGUCUACUUCGAGGUACUGUGUUUUCUUUGGGUCUAAUCCUGUUUCAUGGUCAUCGAAGAAACAACAGGUGGUAUCGCGUUCUACGGCUGAGGCUGAAUAUAGAAGUCUUGCUGCUGUUACAAGUGAUGUUCUGUGGUUACUUUCAUUGUUACGAGAGUUGCAUAUUGGGUCUGUUUCUCCACCAAAUAUAUGGUGUGAUAGUUCUAGUGCAGUUGCAGUUGCUGCAACCCUGUGUUACACUCCAAAUUUAAGCAUAUGGAGUUAGACUUAUUUUUUGUUCGUGAGAAGGUUGCCGAUGGUUCGGUUUUUGUCAGGGAAGUUCCUGCGUCCGAUCAAGUUGCUGAUGUGUUAACCAAACCAUUGUCACUUUCCUAUUUUGCUCGAUUUAGAAAUUUUCUUCGGGUUUUGUCAUUAGAGAAGAUGGAUGUAUGUUAAGGAUAAUAAAACGGUUAGAGAGGUAGUUAGUGAAGGUUGGAAGGUUAGCUAGUUUGUUUAAGAAAGCAAGUUAUCUGUGAGUAUAAAAACGAUGCUCUGGCUUUGUAUUGAAGCAAGUAAAUAGUCUAAGUUCAUUUUUGUAAACAGAGUUCAUUUGAGUAAACGAUUGUUUGAAGUGAAAUUCUAAAAGUUACCUAGCUUUCUUCACUUCUAAAUUAUUUUUGUAAUUAUUUAAUUUAUUUAGGUCAAAUUCAGAAAAAGAAAACCACAUUUACACCAUCUUGUCAAUUUGCUACUUUUUAUAUAUCAUUUAUGCAAGUGUGCUAAGUCCAUGAAAAAUCUCUUUCCUCUAAAUUUUCAUUUCUGCACUGAUAUUUUCAACAACAUUUACACAAUCAUUUCAAUUUGCCAUUUUUUAUCAUUGUUUGAAAUGUGAAUCUGUUUGUCAUUGUUUCUUUGUAGAAUCCCAUCUUAAGUAAAGAACUUGGUUGGAUAUCCGAAUUCAUUAAAAAUUUUAAAAUAUGCAAAUAGAUAUGAGAUUCGGAUAUUUUACAAAUAAAUGGAUAUUCAAAUCCACUGCGGAUAGUAAAUAUAAGGUCUAAAUACAUAAAUUAUCCAAAUCCUCCAUAUUCAAAUCCAUAAUAAACAGAUUAGCUAGAACCACUAAUAUGGCAUGACUAUCUAGUGUGUGUUAAAAGAGGUUACAUUUCUGAAUGUUUCAAUCCAUUGUCCCUCAGCUAUAAUAUAAAUUGGAAUUAUGGAUUGCUUCCACAAACAUGGGAAGACCCAUCUUUGGCCACCAUUAAAGUUCGUCUCUAUGACUCUGACCACAUCACAGCACCACUCUACCUAAGACUAUGGCACCAAGCCACUUGCCCAGAGCUUAAGGAUAAACUCAAGUCAUCUACAUCUCUCCUUUUUCUAGCUUACCUUGAACCACAUCCUCUCAUCUUCGUUCUUGCUACUUCAACCAUCUUAUUUGUCAAAUCUCCGUCCUAUUCUAAACAGAUUGGACCAUCCAUCUACCCAUCAUCAUAUCGACACUAUACAUAAAACCAAUUACAACCAUUUCCCCAUUGAAAUAAUAUAUCAAGAUGACAAUUUUUUUGUUCACAUACCUUUAUGUUACUUGCAACCUUAAUGGCUUCAAUAAUAUGAAUCUGAUCAGGUACUUGAGGGAAUGGUAACACUGAGAUCACAAUAUCUACUUGACGAAGUAUCGCCACAAUCUUUUCAUGUUCCUUCAACUCCCCCUGUUUUCGUACAUACAUCAAACAUUUACGAUUAUCAAAUAUGCUUGCACGCAUACAUACAUACAUACUUGGAUGAUGGUAACACCAGAAGACUGAAACUCUUUAUGCAAGUUGAUCUUGUUGAUAGUGGAUUGUGGGGUGAGAGGGCGAGCAAAAACAAAAGUUGGAUGCCCUAACUUGAUGCUUGCCUUCACCAUGUAUGUGCCUAAGUUGCCGGUUCCUCCAAAUAUGAGGAUUUUAUUU
rnacentral:lncRNA from 1 species